rnacentral:rRNA from 1 species
GGCGUCCGUGACUAUCUGCAGUCGAGCGAACGAAGGGAGCUUGCUCCCGGAUGUUGCGGCCGACGGGUGAGCAACACGUGGGUAACCUGCCUGCAAGACUGGGAUAACUCCGGGAAACCGGAGCUAAUACCGGAUAGUUCCUUGAACCGCAUGGUUCAAGGAUGAAAGACGGUUUCAGCUGUCACUUACAGAUGGACCCGCGGCGCAUUAGCUAGUUGGUGGGGUAAUGGCUCACCAAGGCGACGAUGCGUAGCCGACCUGAGAGGGUGAUCGGCCACACUGGGACUGAGACACGGCCCAGACUCCUACGGGAGGCAGCAGUAGGGAAUCUUCCGCAAUGGACGAAAGUCUGACGGAGCAACGCCGCGUGAGUGAUGAAGGUUUUCGGAUCGUAAAGCUCUGUUGUUAGGGAAGAACAAGUGCGAGAGUAACUGCUCGCACCUUGACGGUACCUAACCAGAAAGCCACGGCUAACUACGUGCCAGCAGCCGCGGUAAUACGUAGGUGGCAAGCGUUGUCCGGAAUUAUUGGGCGUAAAGGGCUCGCACGCGGUUUCUUAAGUCUGAUGUGAAAGCCCCCGGCUCCACCCGGGAGGGUCAUUGGAAACUGGGAAAACUUGAGUGCCGAAGAGGAGAGUGGAAAUCCACGCGUAGCGGUGAAAUGCCUAGAGAUGUGGAGGAACACCACUGGCGAAGGCCACUCUCCGGUCUGUAACUGACCCUGACGAACGAAAACCCGGGGGAGCGAACAGGAUUAGAUACCCUGGCAAUCCCCCCCCCUAAACGAAUAAUGGCUAAGCGUUAAGGGGGUUUCCGC